UCUGGGCAACUGCGAGAUUUACAGUUUCUCAUGCAGCCAACCAAGACAUUGGGUUAGCAUCAUUCCAAAUGGCUGGCAAAGAUUUCUUGUAACUGUCAGUGUAGGACAGGAAAGGCAGGUAUAGGUUAGGGAGGGCAUCCAUCAGUGAGCUCUGACUGGAUGUGAGGACCUAUCACACUUGUCCAGAGAUGAAGGCUGCAGCACAUUCCUGGAUCAGAGGACUCCAUGUUGGACACCACGACUUGGAGAAAUCCCGUCCUGGAUGGCUGCGGUGAUGACCUAGCCCAAGAUGAACCAACCCUUCUACGACGAGGACUUCGCCCAAGAUGAACCAACCCUUCUACGACGAGGACUUCGCCAGAGAUGAACCGACCUUUUCCACGUCUUUUCCACGGGAUGUCUUCAGAUGUUGGACCUUGCCAAACUGUACACAU